rnacentral:tRNA from 1 species
GCAGCAGGCUUAGCCGAAUGGAUAAGCUGUCCGCUUUGCAAGCAGAUGAUCAUGUGUUCGAUUACCAUCUGCUCCA